GCCGCGGGAACACCGGCGGCCCGAGUGGUGAUCGUGAUUAUGGGUCUAAAGGGUCCGUAGCCGGUUGGUCAGUCCUCCGGGAAAUCUGAUAGCUCAACUAUUAGGCUUUCGGGGGAUACUGCCAGACUUGGAACCGGGAGAGGUAAGAGGUACUACAGGGGUAGGAGUGAAAUCUUGUAAUCCCUGUGGGACCACCUGUGGCGAAGGCGUCUUACCAGAACGGGUUCGACGGUGAGGGACGAAAGCUGGGGGCACGAACCGGAUUAGAUACCCGGGUAGUCCCAGCCGUAAACGAUGCUCGCUAGGUGUCAGGCAUGGCGCGACCGUGUCUGGUGCCGCAGGGAAGCCGUGAAGCGAGCCACCUGGGAAGUACGGCCGCAAGGCUGAAACUUAAAGGAAUUGGCGGGGGAGCACAACAACGGGUGGAAGCCUGCGGUUUAAUUGGACUCAACGCCGGACAACUCACCGGGGGCGACAGCAAUAUGUAGGCCAAGCUGAAGACUUUGCCUGAAUCGCUGAGAAGUGGUGCAUGG
rnacentral:rRNA from 1 species